UAUUAGCAUUGAGUAGUAUUUGUUAUGCGUGCAUACUUUAUAGCAUAAAUUCCAAACGAAAAUAUCCAAGCCCACUGGGAACUCUAUCUUGAAAACAAAUACGAUAGUGAAAAUCGGUCAUCCACUGAACAAAAACCAACCGCAUCCGUUCGUCCUCACACACCGACACUCGUCAACGUCCGUGAGGAGUAUUAAAUUGACCGGCGUUGGAAAAAGUCAGUGCCCAGUCCGCCGGAGUGAAACCGCGUGAAAGUGUACUUUAAGAUCGGUCAGAAAGCCAACAAGGCUAAGGCUUCAGUCAGAUCCCAGUUAGAACCGCCAAGCGCCACCGAAUCAGUAAAUUGUCCCAGAGCAUCAACACGGUACUGCGCAGUUUGGAAGCAGAAAAACUGUUCGGAAAAUCCAACAAAAGGAAAACGAGGCGUGAUCCCCAAAAGUACCGUCGGGAUUCAUUAGGCGGCACCAACGAUACGCCCACGUGCAAAUCCAACACGGAGAGCAAGGGUAGAGGCACGUCCAAGCCGAUCAGCACAUCAAACGGACCACGGACGGAAUCAUUGACUCCGAGCACGCACUUCGGUCCUCGAGCUGUUUGGACGGUCUGAGCCAGCUUAACUGCAACUAGCACUUACAGAGGAAUACCAGUACGGAAGGCUCGCCGACGACGGCACUAGACAGUAUCAUCUCCAAUUGCGCGGUGACUCACGACCACCGAAUAUUGCGGUAAUCAGCUUCAUCCAUCCUUCUCAUUAGAAGCUAGACCGACCAUCGGCCAUCUGCGAGAGUUGUGCAGGACAGAAAAGCCUUCCACUGGAAGGCUUUUCUUUUCAUUAUUACAGUUUCGAAGCUUUCGGAGUGCAGUCAGAUCGGACGUCUGUGUGCAGUCGGACGCAGGGAGCGGAUCACCCCGUCACGGUAGCGAACCGUUGAUGCGAAAGGGUAAGGGGCGCUCAGGAAUCUCCAGACCACUCACCAUCAGUAGGCGCCAAUCUCGCUUCUGUGGCCGAACACAGGGAGCGAAGCGUACAGUUGAAGCGAGGCGCAGACUUCAGUUCGCUGGUGACAGGCACUGCGGCAUACCCGGACAGUUGCGGUGACGAGUCGGUGUGAGGCAAGAGGUACAGGAUGCAGAGAUUCGGUAGGAAACAAGGGUGCACCCAAGAAGAGUUUCGUGAGUACCACUAGUAUAAGAAAAUGAAUGGAAUGAAGAAGAAAGCAAGUCAGAGUUAGGGAAUAGAAGGCAGAUAAGGGUGAUGAUGACCAGUAUGCUAAAUAAAAUAAUUGCAAAAUGAUUUAAGCUAUUUGUGGCGUUUUUAUGUUGCUAGCCGGUCCGACCGAUG